GGUAGAGUGCCAGAGUGGUUAAUGGGUAUGACUCGAAUUUUCGCACGAUAUCAUAUGCCUUCGGGCUCCUGGGUUCAAAUCCCAGCUCUACCG